UACGAAGGGGGGCUAGCGUUGUUCGGAUUUACUGGGCGUAAAGCGCACGUAGGCGGAUCUUUAAGUCAGGGGUGAAAUCCCAAGGCUCAACCUUGGAACUGCCUUUGAUACUGGGGAUCUCGAGUCCGGAAGAGGUUGGUGGAACUGCGAGUGUAGAGGUGAAAUUCGUAGAUAUUCGCAAGAACACCAGUGGCGAAGGCGGCCAACUGGUCCGGUACUGACGCUGAGGUGCGAAAGCGUGGGGAGCAAACAGGG
rnacentral:rRNA from 1 species